rnacentral:rRNA from 1 species
GGGUUGUGAGGUUAAGCGACUAAGCGUACACGGUGGAUGCCCUGGCAGUCAGAGGCGAUGAAGGACGUGCUAAUCUGCGAUAAGCGUCGGUAAGGUGAUAUGAACCGUUAUAACCGGCGAUUUCCGAAUGGGGAAACCCAGUGUGAUCCGUCACACUAUCAUUACGUGAAUACAUAGCGUAAUGAAGCGAACCGGGGGAACUGAAACAUCUAAGUACCCCGAGGAAAAGAAAUCAACCGAGAUUCCCCCAGUAGCGGCGAGCGAACGGGGAGCAGCCCAGAGUCUGAAUCAGCUUGUGUGUUAGUGGAACGGUCUGGAAAGUCCGACGGUACAGGGUGAUAGUCCCGUACACCAAAAUGCACAGGUUGUGAACUCGAAGAGUAGGGCGGGACACGUGGUAUCCUGUCUGAAUAUGGGGGGACCAUCCUCCAAGGCUAAAUACUCCUGACUGACCGAUAGUGAACCAGUACCGUGAGGGAAAGGCGAAAAGAACCCCGGCGAGGGGAGUGAAAAAGAACCUGAAACCGUGUACGUACAAGCAGUGGGAGCCUCUUUAUGGGGUGACUGCGUACCUUUUGUAUAAUGGGUCAGCGACUUAUAUUCUGUAGCAAGGUUAACCGUAUAGGGGAGCCGAAGGGAAACCGAGUCUUAACUGGGCGUUAAGUUGCAGGGUAUAGACCCGAAACCCGGUGAUCUAGCCAUGGGCAGGUUGAAGGUUGGGUAACACUAACUGGAGGACCGAACCGACUAAUGUUGAAAAAUUAGCGGAUGACUUGUGGCUGGGGGUGAAAGGCCAAUCAAACCGGGAGAUAGCUGGUUCUCCCCGAAAGCUAUUUAGGUAGCGCCUCGUGAAUUCAUCUUCGGGGGUAGAGCACUGUUUCGGCUAGGGGGUCAUCCCGACUUACCAACCCGAUGCAAACUGCGAAUACCGAAGAAUGUUAUCACGGGAGACACACGGCGGGUGCUAACGUCCGUCGUGAAGAGGGAAACAACCCAGACCGCCAGCUAAGGUCCCAAAGUCAUGGUUAAGUGGGAAACGAUGUGGGAAGGCACAGACAGCCAGGAUGUUGGCUUAGAAGCAGCCAUCAUUUAAAGAAAGCGUAAUAGCUCACUGGUCGAGUCGGCCUGCGCGGAAGAUGUAACGGGGCUAAACCAUGCACCGAAGCUGCGGCAGCGACACUAUGUGUUGUUGGGUAGGGGAGCGUUCUGUAAGCCGUUGAAGGUGUAUCGUGAGGUAUGCUGGAGGUAUCAGAAGUGCGAAUGCUGACAUAAGUAACGAUAAUGCGGGUGAAAAACCCGCACGCCGGAAGACCAAGGGUUCCUGUCCAACGUUAAUCGGGGCAGGGUGAGUCGACCCCUAAGGCGAGGCCGAAAGGCGUAGUCGAUGGGAAACAGGUUAAUAUUCCUGUACUUGGUGUUACUGCGAAGGGGGGACGGAGAAGGCUAUGUUAGCCGGGCGACGGUUGUCCCGGUUUAAGCAUGUAGGCGGAGGUUCCAGGUAAAUCCGGUACCUUUUAACGCUGAGGUGUGAUGACGAGGCACUACGGUGCUGAAGUAACAAAUGCCCUGCUUCCAGGAAAAGCCUCUAAGCAUCAGGUAACAUGAAAUCGUACCCCAAACCGACACAGGUGGUCAGGUAGAGAAUACCAAGGCGCUUGAGAGAACUCGGGUGAAGGAACUAGGCAAAAUGGUGCCGUAACUUCGGGAGAAGGCACGCUGAUAUGUAGGUGAAGUGAUUUACUCAUGGAGCUGAAAUCAGUCGAAGAUACCAGCUGGCUGCAACUGUUUAUUAAAAACACAGCACUGUGCAAACACGAAAGUGGACGUAUACGGUGUGACGCCUGCCCGGUGCCGGAAGGUUAAUUGAUGGGGUUAUCCGUAAGGAGAAGCUCUUGAUCGAAGCCCCGGUAAACGGCGGCCGUAACUAUAACGGUCCUAAGGUAGCGAAAUUCCUUGUCGGGUAAGUUCCGACCUGCACGAAUGGCGUAAUGAUGGCCAGGCUGUCUCCACCCGAGACUCAGUGAAAUUGAACUCGCUGUGAAGAUGCAGUGUACCCGCGGCAAGACGGAAAGACCCCGUGAACCUUUACUAUAGCUUGACACUGAACACUGGUCCUUGAUGUGUAGGAUAGGUGGGAGGCUUUGAAGUGUGGACGCCAGUCUGCAUGGAGCCAUCCUUGAAAUACCACCCUUUAAUGGCUGGUGUUCUAACGUGGACCCGUUACCCGGGUUGCGGACAGUGUCUGGUGGGUAGUUUGACUGGGGCGGUCUCCUCCUAAAGAGUAACGGAGGAGCACGAAGGUUAGCUAAUCCUGGUCGGACAUCAGGAGGUUAGUGCAAAGGCAUAAGCUAGCUUGACUGCGAGAGUGACGGCUCGAGCAGGUGCGAAAGCAGGUCUUAGUGAUCCGGUGGUUCUGAAUGGAAGGGCCAUCGCUCAACGGAUAAAAGGUACUCCGGGGAUAACAGGCUGAUACCGCCCAAGAGUUCAUAUCGACGGCGGUGUUUGGCACCUCGAUGUCGGCUCAUCACAUCCUGGGGCUGAAGUAGGUCCCAAGGGUAUGGCUGUUCGCCAUUUAAAGUGGUACGCGAGCUGGGUUUAGAACGUCGUGAGACAGUUCGGUCCCUAUCUGCCGUGGGCGCUGGAGAAUUGAGGGGGGCUGCUCCUAGUACGAGAGGACCGGAGUGGACGCAUCACUGGUGUUCGGGUUGUCAUGCCAAUGGCAUUGCCCGGUAGCUAAAUGCGGAAGAGAUAAGUGCUGAAAGCAUCUAAGCACGAAACUUGCCCCGAGAUGAGUUCUCCCUGAGACUUUAAGUCUCCUGAAGGAACGUUGAAGACGACGACGUUGAUAGGUCGGGUGUGUAAGUGUAGCGAUACAUUGAGCUAACCGAUACUAAUGAACCGUGAGGCUUAACCUUACAACGCCGAAG